CAUAGGUUAAGUUAAUAAGGGCGCACGGUGAAUGCCUUGGCACUAGGAGCCGAUGAAGGACGGGACUAACGCCGAUAUGCUUUGGGGAGCUGUAAGUGAGCUUUGAUCCAAAGAUUUCCGAAUGGGGGAACCCAGCAUCUUUGAUAGGAUGUUACUGCUGACUGAAUACAUAGGUCAGUAGAGGUAGACGCAGAGAACUGAAACAUCUAAGUACCUGCAGGAAGAGAAAGAAAAAUCGAUUCCCUGAGUAGCGGCGAGCGAAACGGGAAUAGCCCAAACCAGAAAGCUUGCUUUCUGGGGUUGUAGGACUGAACACAUAGAGUCAUAAAUGAGAUUGGUAGAAGAAGCGACCUGGAAAGGUCUGCCGAAGAAGGUAAAAGCCCUGUAAUCGAAACCAAUUUCACUCUGAUCAGUAUCCUGAGUACGGCGGAACACGAGAAAUUCCGUCGGAAUCCGGGAGGACCAUCUCCCAAGGCUAAAUACUCCCUAGUGACCGAUAGUGAACCAGUACCGUGAGGGAAAGGUGAAAAGAACCUCGGAAGAGGAGUGAAAUAGCCCCUGAAACCGUGUGCCUACAAAUAGUUAAAGCCCGUUAAUGGGUGAUAGCGUGCCUUUUGUAGAAUGAACCGGCGAGUUACGAUCCCAUGCGAGGUUAAGUUGAUGAGACGGAGCCGCAGCGAAAGCGAGUCUGAAUAGGGCGAAUGAGUAUGUGGUCGUAGACCCGAAACCAAGUGAUCUACCCAUGUCCAGGUUGAAGGUGCGGUAAUACGCACUGGAGGACCGAACCCACGUAUGUUGAAAAAUGCGGGGAUGAGGUGUGGGUAGCGGAGAAAUUCCAAUCGAACUUGGAGAUAGCUGGUUCUCUCCGAAAUAGCUUUAGGGCUAGCCUCGGAAUUAGAAUCAUGGAGGUAGAGCAACUGUUUGGACUAGGGGCCCUUCUCGGGUUACCGAAUUCAGAUAAACUCCGAAUGCCAUUGAUUUAUAUCCGGGAGUCAGACUGCGAGUGAUAAGAUCCGUAGUCGAAAGGGAAACAGCCCAGACCACCAGCUAAGGUCCCAAAGUUUAUGUUAAGUGGAAAAGGAUGUGGAGUUGCUUAGACAACUAGGAUGUUGGCUCAGAAGCAGCCAUCAUUUAAAGAGUGCGUAAUAGCUCACUAGUCGAGUGACCCUGCGCCGAAAAUUUACCGGGGCUAAACAUAACACCGAAGCUGUGGAUAGAACCAUUGGUUCUAUGGUAGGAGAGCGUUCUAAGGGCGUUGAAGCUAGAUCGUGAGGACUAGUGGAGCGCUUAGAAGUGAGAAUGCCGGUAUGAGUAGCGAAAGACGGGUGAGAAUCCCGUCCACCGAAUGACUAAGGUUUCCUGGGGAAGGCUCGUCCUCCCAGGGUUAGUCGGGACCUAAGUCGAGGCCGAAUGGCGUAGACGAUGGACAACAGGUUGAGAUUCCUGUACCAGUUGGUUUUGUUUGAACAAUGGAGGGACACAGUAGGCUAAGGAAUACGCGCUGUUGGAUAUGCGCGUCCAAGCAACAAGUUUUGAAGUGAGUCAAAUGCUUGCUUCUAUAAGAACAAGUUGUGAUGGGGAGGGAAAUUAAGUACCGAAGUUCCCGAUGUCACACUGUCAAGAAAAGCUUCUAGUUAGAAACCAACUGCCCGUACCGCAAACCGACACAGGUAGUCGAGGAGAGAAUCCUAAGGUGUGCGAGAGAACUCUCGUUAAGGAACUCGGCAAAAUGACCCCGUAACUUCGGGAGAAGGGGUGCUGACCAAUUGGUCAGCCGCAGUGAAUAGGCCCAGGCGACUGUUUAUCAAAAACACAGGUCUCUGCAAAAUCGUAAGAUGACGUAUAGGGGCUGACGCCUGCCCGGUGCUGGAAGGUUAAGAGGAUGGGUUAGCUCUCGGGCGAAGCUCAGAAUUGAAGCCCCAGUAAACGGCGGCCGUAACUAUAACGGUCCUAAGGUAGCGAAAUUCCUUGUCGGGUAAGUUCCGACCCGCACGAAAGGCGUAACGAUCUGGGCACUGUCUCAACGAGAGACUCGGUGAAAUUAUAGUACCUGUGAAGAUGCAGGUUACCCGCGACAGGACGGAAAGACCCCAUGGAGCUUUACUGCAGUUUGAUAUUGAGUGUUUGUACAGCUUGUACAGGAUAGGUAGGAGCCAUUGAAGCCAGGACGCCAGUCUUGGUGGAGGCGUUGGUGGGAUACUACCCUUGCUGUAUGACCACUCUAACCCACAGCCCUUAUCGGGCUGGGAGACAGUGUCUGACGGGCAGUUUGACUGGGGCGGUCGCCUCCUAAAGUGUAACGGAGGCGCCCAAAGGUUCCCUCAGAAUGGUUGGAAAUCAUUCGCAGAGUGUAAAGGCAUAAGGGAGCUUGACUGCGAGACCUACAAGUCGAGCAGGGACGAAAGUCGGGCUUAGUGAUCCGGUGGUUCCGCAUGGAAGGGCCAUCGCUCAACGGAUAAAAGCUACCCUGGGGAUAACAGGCUUAUCUCCCCCAAGAGUCCACAUCGACGGGGAGGUUUGGCACCUCGAUGUCGGCUCAUCGCAUCCUGGGGCUGUAGUCGGUCCCAAGGGUUGGGCUGUUCGCCCAUUAAAGCGGUACGCGAGCUGGGUUCAGAACGUCGUGAGACAGUUCGGUCCCUAUCCGUCGCGGGCGUAGGAAAUUUGAGAGGAGCUGUCCUUAGUACGAGAGGACCGGGAUGGACACACCUCUGGUGUACCAGUUGUUCUGCCAAGGGCAUUGCUGGGUAGCUAUGUGUGGACGGGAUAAACGCUGAAAGCAUCUAAGCGUGAAGCCCCCCUCAAGAUGAGAUUUCCCAUCACGUAAGUGAGUAAGACCCCUGAGAGAUGAUCAGGUAGAUAGGUUGGAAGUGGAAGUAUAGCGAUAUACGGAGCGGACCAAUACUAAUCGGUCGAGGACUUAACCA
rnacentral:rRNA from 1 species